GGGUACUUGGUGUAACGGUAACACACGACUCUUGCAAAGUUGAGAUAGGGGUUCAACUCCCCUAGUUUCCA
rnacentral:tRNA from 1 species